ensembl:snoRNA SNORD58 Small nucleolar RNA SNORD58
CUGCGGUGAUGCCUUUCUUAGGACACCUUUGGAUUUACCAUGAAAAUAAAUAAAAUUCUGAGCAGC